AGAUGAACUUGAAAUUAGCAGGUUGGUUAUUUACUUAUUAUCAAAACUUUUUUUUUAGAAUUAUGGGUAUAGUGAUUUUUGUAAAUUCCAUGUGAAAGUUCGAUUAAAUUUUGUAAUUUAAAUAAAUUUUCUUAAAUUAUUAUUUUAGUCUUUUUAUGAUGGAGAAAUAAGGUAUGCGUACACUUUCUUCUUUUCAGAUUUUGCUUGUGUGAUUACACUACUUAUGUUUAUUGGUGCCAUGAUUUUUACUGUCAAUAUUACUUUUGUCCUUCAUUAUAAAAGACUACAGGGGUCAUUCGAUGUAUUAAGAAUUUAAGUGUACAAAUGAAUGAUCUAUAUCUUUUUCUUUUUAACUAUUAUUUAGAAAAAUUGUUAAGUGUAGAAAUUGCAUUUUUGUUCUAGGUUUGAUGUACCUGGAGGCAACUUUCAAGGAGGAUUCGAACAGUGAGGAAAUUUCAGUCAAUUCAAGCAACUUAGAAAUGUAGUUUGUGAAUUUCUUAUUGUUUGGACAGUUUCUUCUGAUGCUCCUACAAUUGCUGCUGGUCGGGGUGGUCGAAAUUUCAUGAAACUUACUCUCUUGUUAUUUCAUUUCGCAUAUGUUAUAUUUUUGCUAUCUUAUAUCCCGUAUUGAAUUACUCCCUCAAUUUCUAAAUAAGUGAUCAUUUUGACCUGUUCACACUAUAAUAAAUUAUUCGCU
rnacentral:lncRNA from 1 species